rnacentral:rRNA from 1 species
AACGAACGCUGGCGGCAGGCUUAACACAUGCAAGUCGAACGCCCCGCAAGGGGAGUGGCAGACGGGUGAGUAACGCGUGGGAACGUACCCUUUACUACGGAAUAACUCAGGGAAACUUGUGCUAAUACCGUAUGUGCCCUUCGGGGGAAAGAUUUAUCGGUAAAGGAUCGGCCCGCGUUGGAUUAGCUAGUUGGUGGGGUAAAGGCCUACCAAGGCGACGAUCCAUAGCUGGUCUGAGAGGAUGAUCAGCCACAUUGGGACUGAGACACGGCCCAAACUCCUACGGGAGGCAGCAGUGGGGAAUAUUGGACAAUGGGCGCAAGCCUGAUCCAGCCAUGCCGCGUGAGUGAUGAAGGCCCUAGGGUUGUAAAGCUCUUUCACCGGUGAAGAUGAUGACGGUAACCGGAGAAGAAGCCCCGGCUAACUUCGUGCCAGCCGCCGCGGUAACAC